rnacentral:rRNA from 1 species
GAUGAACGCUGGCGGCGUGCCUAAUACAUGCAAGUCGAGCGAACGGACGAGAAGCUUGCUUCUCUGAUGUUAGCGGCGGACGGGUGAGUAACACGUGGAUAACCUACCUAUAAGACUGGGAUAACUUCGGGAAACCGGAGCUAAUACCGGAUAAUAUUUUGAACCGCAUGGUUCAAAAGUGAAAGACGGUCUUGCUGUCACUUAUAGAUGGAUCCGCGCUGCAUUAGCUAGUUGGUAAGGUAACGGCUUACCAAGGCAACGAUGCAUAGCCGACCUGAGAGGGUGAUCGGCCACACUGGAACUGAGACACGGUCCAGACUCCUACGGGAGGCAGCAGUAGGGAAUCUUCCGCAAUGGGCGAAAGCCUGACGGAGCAACGCCGCGUGAGUGAUGAAGGUCUUCGGAUCGUAAAACUCUGUUAUUAGGGAAGAACAUAUGUGUAAGUAACUGUGCACAUCUUGACGGUACCUAAUCAGAAAGCCACGGCUAACUACGUGCCAGCAGCCGCGGUAAUACGUAGGUGGCAAGCGUUAUCCGGAAUUAUUGGGCGUAAAGCGCGCGUAGGCGGUUUUUUAAGUCUGAUGUGAAAGCCCACGGCUCAACCGUGGAGGGUCAUUGGAAACUGGAAAACUUGAGUGCAGAAGAGGAAAGUGGAAUUCCAUGUGUAGCGGUGAAAUGCGCAGAGAUAUGGAGGAACACCAGUGGCGAAGGCGACUUGUCUGGUCUGUAACUGACGCUGAUGUGCGAAAGCGUGGGGAUCAAACAGGAUUAGAUACCCUGGUAGUCCACGCCGUAAACGAUGAGUGCUAAGUGUUAGGGGGUUUCCGCCCCUUAGUGCUGCAGCUAACGCAUUAAGCACUCCGCCUGGGGAGUACGACCGCAAGGUUGAAACUCAAAGGAAUUGACGGGGACCCGCACAAGCGGUGGAGCAUGUGGUUUAAUUCGAAGCAACGCGAAGAACCUUACCAAAUCUUGACAUCCUUUGACAACUCUAGAGAUAGAGCCUUCCCCUUCGGGGGACAAAGUGACAGGUGGUGCAUGGUUGUCGUCAGCUCGUGUCGUGAGAUGUUGGGUUAAGUCCCGCAACGAGCGCAACCCUUAAGCUUAGUUGCCAUCAUUAAGUUGGGCACUCUAAGUUGACUGCCGGUGACAAACCGGAGGAAGGUGGGGAUGACGUCAAAUCAUCAUGCCCCUUAUGAUUUGGGCUACACACGUGCUACAAUGGACAAUACAAAGGGCAGCGAAACCGCGAGGUCAAGCAAAUCCCAUAAAGUUGUUCUCAGUUCGGAUUGUAGUCUGCAACUCGACUACAUGAAGCUGGAAUCGCUAGUAAUCGUAGAUCAGCAUGCUACGGUGAAUACGUUCCCGGGUCU